rnacentral:lncRNA from 1 species
ACCCUAUGAUCUAAAGUGUAUCAAUUUAGUGUCCCUGAUUUCAUUUUUCUCUUUUUGUCAGACCCUCUAUUAACUUUUUGUUAAAUUAUAUACAAAAAACUUAAGAGACCUAUCUAUAGUUCAUUGAAUAUUCACUUUAAUACUAUUUAGUUUUAACUUUAUCACUAAUUUAACGAAAAAAAUUAAUAGAGCGGAUAACAAAAAGAGAAAAAUAAAAUCACAGGGUACGAAAGUGAUACACUUUAAAUCAUAGGGUAGUAAAGUAAGAAAGUGCGAAACCACGGGGGUGGUAUUUAAAAUUUUUUCUUAAAUAUUUCCCAAACAAUGGAUAUAAUACUAAAUAUACAAUUUCAUCCUAAUCACUUAAUAAUAGAAAUUUCAAACUUUCUUAAACAGUGAUGCAAAAAUUAUUACCUAAAUUAUUAAAUAAUGAUGUCAAUCCAAACUCUCCUUAAAUUAUGUAAUAUGAUCAAUUCUAAAAAUUCUAAAAUAUUCCCUGCAUGAAGUUACGUGUAUUUUAACCUUCUGUACUCACUACAACUAGGGCUGGCAAACGAGCGAGCCGGCUCGCGUUCGGCUCGUGUUCGGCUCGAUAUUCGGCUCGCUCGAGCUCGACUCGAAAUUAAAUGAGCCGAGCUUGAACAAAAUAAAAGGCUCGAAAUUCAUUUCAAGCCGAGCUUGAGUAUUACUCGGCUCGUUCGAAUUAGGCUCGAAAAGCUCGAAAAGCUCAAAUAUAUAUAUAUAUAUANUUUUUGUGUAAGUAUCCUAUUCACGCCAAAACUUAAAAAAAAAAUUAUUAAUGCCUAAAUAUAAAGCCCAAUCAAACCAAAAAGAAAAUGUUACUUUACUCAACCCACCCCACGCCUAAAUAUAAAGCCCAAUCCAACCAAAAAUAAAAGGUUACUAUACUCAACUCACCCCACCCAGCCCAAUCGACCCGAUUACAAACAGAAAAGAAAAGAAAAAAGAAAAAAGAAAAAUCGAUUACCAUCUCCCCUUCUUCCCUCACUCAAUCCACUGAAAUUCUAGACGAAGAGCCCUUCCCUCUCCUCCUCCUCCUCCUCCUCCGCCACCACAGCCAGCGAGGUAGAGUUCCGGCGGUUGCUAAAUGCUUAAAUAAGUGUCGGUAAAUUAGCAUCACUCUUUUUAGAUUAUAGCGAUACUUUUUAACUGUCUCUAUAUAGCUAGCAACCCCACAUAUAGCAACACUUUUUAAAAGUGUCGGUAAUUUAGCCAGCAGCACUUUUUUUGAUCUAUACCGACAUUUAAAAGUGUCACUAUAGACCGUUUUUGUUAGUGUGUAAGUUAAAAUAACAAUUCUAU